rnacentral:rRNA from 1 species
AUUGAACGCUGGUGGCAUGCCUUACACAUGCAAGUCGAACGGCAGCACGGGAGCAAUCCUGGUGGCGAGUGGCGAACGGGUGAGUAAAGUAUCGGAACGUGCCCAGUCGUGGGGGAUAACGUAGCGAAAGUUACGCUAAUACCGCAUACGAUCUAUGGAUGAAAGCGGGGGAUCGAAAGACCUCGCGCGAUUGGAGCGGCCGAUAUCAGAUUAGGUAGUUGGUGGGGUAAAGGAUCAACAAGCCGACGAUCUGUAGCUGGUUUGAGAGGACGAACAGCGACACGGGGACUGAGACACUGCCCAGACUCCUACGGGAGGCAGCAGUGGGUAAUUUUGGACAAUGGGCGCAAGCCUGAUCCAGCCAUGCCGCGUGCAGGAUGAAGGCCUUCGGGUUGUAAACUGCUUUUGUACGGAACGAAAAGGUUUGACUUAAUACGUUGGACUCAUGACGGUACCGUAAGAAUAAGCACCGGCUAACUACGUGCCAGCCGCCGCAGUAA